CCUACGGGGUGCAGCAGUGGGGAAUAUUGGUCAAUGGACGAGAGUCUGAACCAGCCACGUAGCGUGAAGGAUGACUGCCCUCUGGUUUGUAAACUUCUUUUAUAUGGGAGUAAAAUGUUCCACGUGUGGGAUUUUGUGUGUACCAUAUGAAUGAGGCACGGCUAACUCCGUGCCAGCAGCCGCGGGAAUACGGAGGAUCCGAGCGUUAUCCGGAUUUAGUGGGUGUAAAGGGAGCGUAGGUGGGUAGUUAAGGCAGUUGUGAAAUUUUGCGGCUCAACCUUAAAAUUGCAGUUGAAACUGGCAGUCUUGAGUACAGUAGAGGUGGGCGGAAUUCGUGGUGUAGCGGUGAAAUGCUUAGAUAUCACGAAGAACACCGAUUGCGAAGGCAGUUCACUGGACUGCAACUGACACUGAGGCUCGAAAGUGUGGGUAUCAAACAGGAUUAGAUACCCCAGUAGUC
rnacentral:rRNA from 1 species